AUUACCAACAAAUUCAUACGUUAAUUCGAGUGAUUUCGUCUCUAACUUGUCGGAGGAAACGUGAAAGGGACGUGGCCGUCGUGCAGCCUACCGUUUACUAUUUUGUUCAAAAUCAUUUUAUUCUACUGAAUGUGCCAUCGAAAGGAUACAGGAGUCAUAAUUAUCAACUGUUUGUAUUGGACUUGCUAGAUCACCAACAGCCCAGCAUAGACCAAUCUUUCAUUUCAUCUUCUCGAGAGAAGAUUAGAUAACUGGUGGUUUCAUGUGCAAGAUCACUUAUCAUGUCACUGAACUUUUUCCGUUUCAGUCUAAUAUGUAUUUAAAGUAUUGAUCUCCACUUAUGUCUAUCUAAUGUUUAAG